ACUUUCACAUCUCCAUAUGAAACUUUUGCUUAUAGAAGAAUGUCAUUUGGCUUGUGCAAUGCACUAGCUAACUUUCAAAGGUGUAUGAUGGCAAUCUUCUGUGAUUUUAUUGGGGAUUUCAUGGAGAUUUUUAUGAAUGAUUUUUCAGUUUAUAAUUCUUCAUUUGAUAUUUGUUUAGCUAAUCUCUCUAAGGUUUUGCAACAAUGUCUAGUUUUAAAUUAGGAAAAGUGUCACUUUAUGGUCCAAGAAGGAAUUGUG
rnacentral:misc_RNA from 1 species